CAUUUCCACCGUGAGAGUGAGCCCCACGGUCCGAAAAUCGCACGUAACACUUGGCCAAGAACAAGUCACCCGAAGCGGCGGGCCCACAGUCCGUUUUCAGUCGUCCGAUCGCGUCCGAUAAGCAAUCCUGGCACUCAUUCGCACUUAAAUCCUGUACACACUGUGCCACACCGUAGAUGUCGCCGGACCCACCCACCCUGUAAGGCUUGUAGGACCCAUCGCUGGCUCCCAAGUACCCCAACAAGGCAUCGCGCCUGGUCAACGAGUCGGAUUCAUACCCGAUCGACGGCCCACAUUUCUUCAGCACCACGGUCUUGUCCUCCACACCCAAAAAACUGAUAUUAUCAUACUUAACGAAACAACCAUCGAGCUGCAGCGCGCCACCGCACGAGUCAAUGCAGAGAGUGCCGAGUUGACUCACUGCGCUAGCGACACAGCGAGCACAGUCACCAUUGGAAAGGUCUCCGCGGCACUGGAAGAGGCCAUAGAGGGUGUCCUGUGAGGAGGAAGGACUUUGGAUGGUGAAGUUGUUGUAGUUGGUGAGGGUGGCUGAGUUAACCAGGGAGGUGAGUAGCGAGUUGACAUUAGAUUCGUAAGGAGAACCCGAGAUGUAUUUGAGCUGUGAACAUCCACCGAAAAUGAAAGACUCGAGAGAGGAAGUUGAUGGGGUUGAAAGGAGGGAGAUUGUGAGAAGGGAAGCAAAAGCUAUGAUUGCAAGAGACAUGUUUGAUGAGUUCCUGACAGAGAGAUUGAAGGGUUUUCCUUGGUGGGAGGUUAAGAGUAUAACAAGAACAGAAGUGAUCGCUGGUGCUUUGUACAGUUUUUGAACGUCUGCGAAAGGUAGAGAGAGCGCUCUAGCAAAGCGGAGGGCUUUUGCUUUGAGGAGAAUUUACGUAACGAAUUGCAAGGGAGUUACUUGACCUAUGCAUACAUUAUUGCCCCCAUUUUUUUU
rnacentral:misc_RNA from 1 species